rnacentral:rRNA from 1 species
AUUGAACGCUGGCGGCAUGCCUUACACAUGCAAGUCGAACGGCAGCGCGGACUUCGGUCUGGCGGCGAGUGGCGAACGGGUGAGUAAUACAUCGGAACGUACCCUGUUGUGGGGGAUAACUAGUCGAAAGAUUAGCUAAUACCGCAUACGACCUGAGGGUGAAAGUGGGGGACCGCAAGGCCUCACGCAGCAGGAGCGGCCGAUGUCUGAUUAGCUAGUUGGGGGGGUAAAGGCCCAGCAAGGGGACGAUCAGUCGCUGGUCUGAGAGGACGAUAGGCCACACUGGGACUGAGACACGGACCAGAGGCCUACGGGAGGCAGCAGUGGGGAAUUUUGGACAAUGGGGGCAACCCUGAUCCAGCAAGGCCGCGUGUGUGAAGAAGGCCUUCGGGUUGUAAAGCACUUUUGUCCGGAAUGAAAUCGCGCUGGUUAAUACCUGGCGUGGAUGACGGUACCGGAAGAAUAAGCACCGGCUAACUACGUGCCAGCCGCCGCCGUAA